rnacentral:rRNA from 1 species
GAUGAACGCUAGCGGCAGGCCUAACACAUGCAAGUCGAGGGAGGAGCUUUCGGGCUUCGACCGGCGUACGGGUGCGUAACGCGUAUACAAUCUGCCUUUCACAUAGGGAUAGCCCGAAGAAAUUUGGAUUAAUACCUAAUGGUAUAUAGGAGUGGCAUCACAUUUAUAUUAAAGCUGAGGCGGUGAAAGAUGAGUAUGCGUUCUAUUAGCUAGUUGGAGAGGUAACGGCUCCCCAAGGCGACGAUAGAUAGGGGUUCUGAGAGGGAUAUCCCCCACACUGGUACUGAGAUACGGACCAGACUCCUACGGGAGGCAGCAGUGAGGAAUAUUGGACAAUGGUCGGAAGACUGAUCCAGCCAUGCCGCGUGCAGGAAGACGGCCUUAUGGGUUGUAAACUGCUUUUGCAGGGGAAGAAUAAGGACUACGUGUAGUUCGAUGACGGUACUCUGCGAAUAAGCAUCGGCUAACUCCGUGCCAGCAGCCGCGGUAAUACGGAGGAUGCGAGCGUUAUCCGGAAUCAUUGGGUUUAAAGGGUCCGUAGGCGGGCUAAUAAGUCAGAGGUGAAAGCGCUCAGCUCAACUGAGCAACUGCCUUUGAAACUGUUAGUCUUGAAUGGUUGUGAAGUAGUUGGAAUGUGUAGUGUAGCGGUGAAAUGCUUAGAUAUUACACAGAACACCGAUAGCGAAGGCAUAUUACUAACAAUUAAUUGACGCUGAUGGACGAAAGCGUGGGGAGCGAACAGG